AUUGAACGCUGGCGGCAGGCCUAAGACAUGCAAGUCGAACGCAGUAGCAAUACUGAGUGGCAAACGGGUGAGUAUAAUGUGGGAAUCUACCUUUGGUUGGAAUACACGGGGAAACUUGUGCUAAUACCGAAUAAGCCCUUACGGGGAAAGUUUUAACGCCGAAAGAUGAGCCUGCACUUGAUUAGCUUGUUGGUGAGGUAAAGGCUCACCAAGGCGACGAUCUUUAGCUGGUCUGAGAGGACGAUCAGCCACAUUGGGACUGAGACACGGCCCAGACUCCUACGGGAGGCAGCAGUGGGGAAUAUUGGACAAUGGGGGCAACCCUGAUCCAGCCAUGCCGCGUGAGUGAAGAAGGCCCUAGGGUCGUAAAGCUCUUUCGCCUGUGAUGAUAAUGACAGUAGCAGGUAAAGAAACCCCGGCUAACUCCGUG
rnacentral:rRNA from 1 species